CUCAGACUGAAGCUGUAGGAGUCCGGUUCUCCUGCUCCAGUCAGCGCCCGCUCCAGGUCCUGGAUGUACUUCUCCAUGGUCAUCUCCAGCUCCGCUGCCUCGCCGCUCAUGGUGGCCUCGCCCACUGAGCGGACACAGAAGUGGCAUCCUGUCCAUCAGUGAGCAGCACCCGGAAGCCUGAAGCUAAGCUCCGCCCCUUCCAGUCCACACGCAGGAAGUAGGAGGAGCCAGGUUGGGAUGAGACGCGGAUCUCCCGCACGGCCGUGUUCAUCCCUGCAGAAGAAACAGCCAGUCAGGUGGAGCAGGAAGAACUCUGGAUGGUCGGAGCGUUCCUCUGAAACAGCGUGAAGAGGAGGAAGACCUCAUGGAGAGGAGGAAGACCUCAUGGAGAGGAGGAAGACCUCAUGGAGAGGAGGAAGACCUCAUGGAGAGGAGGAAGUCCUCAUGGAGAGGAGGAAGACCUCAUGGAGAGGAGGAAGACCUCAUGGAGAGGAGGAAGUCCUCAUGGAGAGGAGGAAGUCCUCAUGGAGAGGAGGAAGACCUCAUGGAGAGGAGGAAGUCCUCUCCAUGAGGUCUUCCUCCUCUCAAAACUUUACUUCACAUCAAAAACCCUGAAGAGGUCCAGCGCCUUGACGGCAUGAACUGAGAAAACACACGGUCUGCAGAUCCAGACUCCACCACCGGAUCCAGACUUCCACCUACAGAUCCAGACUCCACCUCCAGAUCCAGACUUCACCACCGGAUCCAGACCUCCACCUCCAGAUCCAGACCUCCACCACAGUUUUCACUUCCAUUGGAUGGUUUUCUCUCUGACAGACAAACCUGGAGAAAGUCUGAACUUCCACGUCUAUUGUUGAACUCCGGUUUAUGUUGAUGGAGGUUCUCAUUCCCUGAAUGUUUCAGCAAAAAUGAAACUUUCUGCUGCUGAUCUUCCUGACAGCCGCUGCUGCUCAAAACCAAUGACACCGCGGUGCCUCGGAGGCUCCUCCUCCUGAGUGAAGGUUUGUUCGUAAAGCAUGUGUGGGACUAAUGAGAGGUUCUGAACUCCAGAAAACCUGGUCUGAAUGGAGCCGUCUAGAACUCAUCCUGAUGCUCCGAUGACCAGAGGACGUCCACAUCUGCUCACAUGAAACCGAAUUAUUUCUCUUUUUGAAUCAUGAAAACCUGAACUCUACAUCAGAUGAUCAUCAGGAUCAACCUGGAAGUCCAGCUGAUCUGAAGAACUGAAGUCUGUCAGACAUUCAUGAAACUUUGAUAAAAGAUUCCAAAGAUCUCA